rnacentral:rRNA from 1 species
GAUCAUGGCUCAGAACGAACGCUGGCGGCAGGCUUAACACAUGCAAGUUGAACGGGAUUUGUGUGGUGCUUGCACCAUAUAAUGAGAGUAGCGCACUGGUGAGUAACACGUGGGAACGUGCCUUUUUAGUGGGGGAUAACAUCUGGAAACGGAUGCUAAUACCGCAUACGCCCUGAGGGGGGAAAGAUUUAUUGCUAAGAGGUCGGCCCGCGGUAGAUUAGGCAGUUGGUGGGGUAAAGGCCUACC